AUUGAACGCUGGCGGCAGGCUUAACACAUGCAAGUCGAGCGGAGAUGAGGUGCUUGCACCUUAUCUUAGCGGCGGACGGGUGAGUAAUGCUUAGGAAUCUGCCUAUUAGUGGGGGACAACAUUCCGAAAGGAAUGCUAAUACCGCAUACGUCCUACGGGAGAAAGCAGGGGAUCUUCGGACCUUGCGCUAAUAGGUGAGCCUAAGUCGGAUUAGCUAGUUGGUGGGGUAAGGCCUACCAAGGCGACGAUCUGUAGCGGGUCUGAGAGGAUGAUCCGCCACACUGGGACUGAGACACGGCCCAGACUCCUACGGGAGGCAGCAGUGGGGAAUAUUGGACAAUGGGGGGAACCCUGAUCCAGCCAUGCCGCGUGUGUGAAGAAGGCCUUAUGGUUGUAAAGCACUUUAAGCGAGGAGGAGGCUACUGAGACUAAUACUCUUGGAUAGUGGACGUUACUCGCAGAAUAAGCACCGGCUAACUCUGUGCCAGCCGCCGCAGUAAGAC
rnacentral:rRNA from 1 species